rnacentral:rRNA from 1 species
GACGAACGCUGGCGGCGUGCUUAACACAUGCAAGUCGAACGGAAAGGCCCCUUCGGGGGUCCUCGAGUGGCGAACAGGUGAGUAACACGUGAGUAACCUGCCCUUGACUUCGGGAUAACUUCAGGAAACUGGGGCUAAUACCGGAUAGGAAUCCUUGCUGCAUGGUGGGGGUUGGAAAGCUUCGGCGGUUUUGGAUGGACUCGCGGCUUAUCAGCUUGUUGGUGGGGUAGUGGCUUACCAAGGCUUUGACGGGUAGCCGGCCUGAGAGGGCGACCGGCCACAGUGGGACUGAGAUACGGCCCAGACUCCUACGGGAGGCAGCAGGGGGGAAUAUUGCACAAUGGGCGGAAGCCUGAUGCAGCAACGCCGCGUGCGGGAUGACGGCCUUCGGGUUGUAAACCGCUUUCAGCAGGGGCGAAGCUUGUGGUGACGGUACCUGCAGAAGAAGCACCGGCUAACUACGUG